UACGUAGGGGGCGAGCGUUAUCCGGAAUUAUUGGGCGUAAAGAGUGCGUAGGUGGUCAUUUAAGCGAGAGGUUUAAGGCUAGGGCUUAACCGUAGUUCGCCUUUCGAACUGAAUGACUUGAGUGCAGGAGGGGAAAGCGGAAUUCCUAGUGUAGCGGUGAAAUGCGUAGAUAUUAGGAGGAACACCAGUGGCGAAGGCGGCUUUCUGGACUGAAACUGACACUGAGGCACGAAAGCGUGGGGAGCAAACA
rnacentral:rRNA from 1 species